UACAGAGGUCUCAAGCGUUGUUCGGCUUCAUUGGGCGUAAAGGGUGCGUAGGUGGCGGGGUAAGUCCGGUGUGAAAUCUCGAGGCUCAACCUCGAAACUGCACUUGAUACUGCCUUGCUGGAGUACUGGAGAGGAGAUUGGAAUUUACGGUGUAGCAGUGAAAUGCGUAGAUAUCGUAAGGAAGACCAGUGGCGAAGGCGAAUCUCUGGACAGUUACUGACACUGAGGCACGAAGGCCAGGGGAGCAAACGGG
rnacentral:rRNA from 1 species